AUGUGCUUUAACAUUUCUAUAUGCUCAAGAUAAAAUGUUUAUUAUUCUUCUGAAAUCAUUUUCACAGGUAGGAGAAAAGUGACUGAAAACUUUUGUUACCCAGUGUCCAGGAUUGAAGGAUGACUUACUGAUAAUGCAUCCUGCAAACUGAGCCUGUAGACCCCAGAUACUAUGAAGAAUCUUUCCCACAGUAUCUUGGAUUCCAAGACUUGCUUAUUAAGGACAGUAAGAAGCACAGCAAAAAUGUCAUCUGUGACUUUAUAUGAUGAAUCCUGGCAGUUGCUACAACUCAUCACUUCUAGAAACAAUAAACUAAUCCCAAAUCUGGAUUUUUCAUUUUCCUUUUUAUAUUUUGUGCCUGAGUUUCUACCAGAUUACACCCAUGUGACACUUGAGCCUUUAGUCACAUAGCUGGUGAGUGAGCUUAAGGAAGUAUACAUUUUCUGCAUCUUAAUCAUUCUAAGGACCACAAAACUACAUCUAAUGCAUCUGUAAACCAGUCACAUGGGAAGGAAAGUCUGGAAGUACUGAGCAAACUGAAAUCACUUGCUGAGUGCUUGGAGAAAUUCUUCCACUUUUUAGGAGGAAUGUGGCAACUGUUAAACAGUACAUGGCAACCACACAGACAGUUUGGACAGGAUGGGAAAAAGGAAUACAAUAUUCUAGUGGGAACCGUGGGGGAAAUACAGAGACAGAAUGCAAUGUAACACACACCAAGAUCUUUUUUGUGCAAAAUAAUGCAUAAUUGAAGGAGUAAGGGGUGUAAGGGAAGAGAGGAAUACGAAAAAUAGACUUCCCCGCCACGAAAUGGAUAUUAUUUAAAAACAAUAGCUGCACAUUUCACAAAUUACUGAAAAAUAUGAUGCAGAAGAAUGCAGAGACAAAUAUACAUGUGAAGAGGGGGUGUGGGAGAGCAAGACAAAUCUCUUAAAAUCAGCUAGAUACUGCUGGUUAAUUUCAAGACUACAGGAGGAGUACUUAUUCUAAUCUAUGUGUGCUGCUUCUUGAUACCAUCUAAUUAAAAAGUAUAUGGAAGAGAAUUUUACUAAAAUUGUUAUCAUGGAACAUAAAACAGUGGGGAUUUCCUUGUGGGGACUUCCUAAGCUGAACUUUAAAUAGGACUUUAAAUCUUUUUCUCUUUCUAAGACUGUUCUUUUGUACUUGUAGUUAUUUUCGUGUGAAUUCUGAGCCCACAGCCACACAACUGAAGGACGUUUUUCAAAAGAAUUUAGCUCCUACUUUCCACCUAGGAUAUGUGAAAAACUUUAAAAACUUUUAGUCCCCUAUUUAAAAAAAAUGCAGCCUCAAGUUCCUGGCCUUAUCUGGUGGAUAUUGAACACUUUGGAGAAUCUGAGCCUUAUUUAGCUGCCUAAUUGGGCAGUUCUGGUGAUUGGUGGAGCAUGUGAAAAUU
rnacentral:lncRNA from 1 species